GUACACCUCAAAACCAAACAGAACCACUGGAUUCCUGAUCAAGUAUCAUACUUUAUCAUAAAAUAGGAAUCUUGAUUACCUAGAACUUCAAACCCCUUAGUUUCACAGUUCCAUAAUAUUGACAAAAAGGGGAUUUGUUUUCCCCUCUCUGAAAUAUUCCCAGCAACAAACCAAGUUGUUAGCCCAAUUCACUAAAUUGGGCUACUGUGAAUUGAUGAAGCAACGAUGAAAAAAGGUCAAUUUAGUCAAAGUUCAAUAAUUUCAACAAAAAAAUCAGUGUAAAAGAGAAAUUGGCUUGUCUUAACUGUGCUUGGCUUUCAAAACCUGAAGUUGUCCUAAACCAUGUAAUAAAAAGGAGAAAAGAAGAAAACUUUGCAGUGAAGAGAAAGGAAAUUUGAUAUAUUGGGAUGUGGGUAGUGCAAAAGAAGAGAGAUUAUGAGUUAUGAGUUAUGAGCACAUUGCUGAUGAGGAGAGAGAGGCGGCUAAGGAAAAACAAUUAUAAAGAUAAAUGAAC
rnacentral:lncRNA from 1 species